rnacentral:rRNA from 1 species
GAUGAACGCUAGCGGCAGGCUUAACACAUGCAAGUCGAGGGGUAGUGGCAGCAAUGCCAUGAGACCGGCAAACGGGUGCGGAACACGUACACAAUCUACCUUUAUCUGGGGCAUAGCCCGAAGAAAUUCGGAUUAACACCCCAUAAAAUAACAAUCUGCAUCAGAUAAUUAUUAAAUCUCCGGAGGAUAGAGAUGAGUGUGCGUCCCAUUAGCAGUUGGUAGGGUAACGGCCUACCAAGGCGACGAUGGGUAGCUGGUGUGAGAGCACGACCAGCCACACGGGCACUGAGACACGGGCCCGACUCCUACGGAGGCAGCAGUGGGAAUAUUGCGCAAUGGACGAAAGUCUGACGCAGCAACGCCGCGUGGGUGAUGAAGGCC